rnacentral:rRNA from 1 species
AAAUUGAAGAGUUUGAUCAUGGCUCAGAUUGAACGCUGGCGGCAGGCCUAACACAUGCAAGUCGAACGGUAACAGGAAGCAGCUUGCUGCUUUGCUGACGAGUGGCGGACGGGUGAGUAAUGUCUGGGAAACUGCCCGAUGGAGGGGGAUAACUACUGGAAACGGUGGCUAAUACCGCAUAACGUCGCAAGACCAAAGAGGGGGACCUUCGGGCCUCUUGCCAUCAGAUGUGCCCAGAUGGGAUUAGCUUGUUGGUGAGGUAACGGCUCACCAAGGCGACGAUCCCUAGCUGGUCUGAGAGGAUGACCAGCCACACUGGAACUGAGACACGGUCCAGACUCCUACGGGAGGCAGCAGUGGGGAAUAUUGCACAAUGGGCGCAAGCCUGAUGCAGCCAUGCCGCGUGUAUGAAGAAGGCCUUCGGGUUGUAAAGUACUUUCAGCGGGGAGGAAGGUGUUGUGGUUAAUAACCGCAGCAAUUGACGUUACCCGCAGAAGAAGCACCGGCUAACUCCGUGCCAGCAGCCGCGGUAAUACGGAGGGUGCAAGCGUUAAUCGGAAUUACUGGGCGUAAAGCGCACGCAGGCGGUCUGUCAAGUCGGAUGUGAAAUCCCCGGGCUCAACCUGGGAACUGCAUUCGAAACUGGCAGGCUUGAGUCUUGUAGAGGGGGGUAGAAUUCCAGGUGUAGCGGUGAAAUGCGUAGAGAUCUGGAGGAAUACCGGUGGCGAAGGCGGCCCCCUGGACAAAGACUGACGCUCAGGUGCGAAAGCGUGGGGAGCAAACAGGAUUAGAUACCCUGGUAGUCCACGCCGUAAACGAUGUCUACUUGGAGGUUGUGCCCUUGAGGCGUGGCUUCCGGAGCUAACGCGUUAAGUAGACCGCCUGGGGAGUACGGCCGCAAGGUUAAAACUCAAAUGAAUUGACGGGGGCCCGCACAAGCGGUGGAGCAUGUGGUUUAAUUCGAUGCAACGCGAAGAACCUUACCUGGUCUUGACAUCCACGGAAGAAUUCAGAGAUGGAUUUGUGCCUUCGGGAACCGUGAGACAGGUGCUGCAUGGCUGUCGUCAGCUCGUGUUGUGAAAUGUUGGGUUAAGUCCCGCAACGAGCGCAACCCUUAUCCUUUGUUGCCAGCGGUCCGGCCGGGAACUCAAAGGAGACUGCCAGUGAUAAACUGGAGGAAGGUGGGGAUGACGUCAAGUCAUCAUGGCCCUUACGACCAGGGCUACACACGUGCUACAAUGGCGCAUACAAAGAGAAGCGACCUCGCGAGAGCAAGCGGACCUCAUAAAGUGCGUCGUAGUCCGGAUUGGAGUCUGCAACUCGACUCCAUGAAGUCGGAAUCGCUAGUAAUCGUGGAUCAGAAUGCCACGGUGAAUACGUUCCCGGGCCUUGUACACACCGCCCGUCACACCAUGGGAGUGGGUUGCAAAAGAAGUAGGUAGCUUAACCUUCGGGAGGGCGCUUACCACUUUGUGAUUCAUGACUGGGGUGAAGUCGUAACAAGGUAACCGUAGGGGAACCUGCGGUUGGA